GGACGAACGCUGGCGGCGUGCUUACCCCAUGCAAGUCGAACGGAAAGGCCCUGCUUUUGUGGGGUGCUCGAGUGGCGAACGGGUGAGUAACACGUGAGUAACCUGCCCUUGACUUUGGGAUAACUUCAGGAAACUGGGGCUAAUACCGGAUAGGAGCUCCUGCUGCAUGGUGGGGGUUGGAAAGUUUCGGCGGUUGGGGAUGGACUCGCGGCUUAUCAGCUUGUUGGUGGGGUAGUGGCUUACCAAGGCUUUGACGGGUAGCCGGCCUGAGAGGGUGACCGGCCACAUUGGGACUGAGAUACGGCCCAGACUCCUACGGGAGGCAGCAGUGGGGAAUAUUGCACAAUGGGCGGAAGCCUGAUGCAGCAACGCCGCGUGCGGGAUGACGGCCUUCGGGUGGUAAACCGCUUUCGCCUGUGACGAAGCGUGAGUGACGGUAAUGGGUAAAGAAGCACCGGCUAACUACGU
rnacentral:rRNA from 1 species